UUACAGUUGGCUCCCAGGCGACGACGGGUAGCCGGCCUGAGAGGGCGACCGGCCACACUGGGACUGAGACACGGCCCAGACUCCUACGGGAGGCAGCAGUGGGGAAUAUUGCGCAAUGGGCGAAAGCCUGACGCAGCGACGCCGCGUGCGGGAUGAAGGCCUUCGGGUCGUAAACCGCUGUCGGGAGGGACGAAGCUCUGACGGUACCUCCAAAGGAAGCACCGGCUAACUACGUGCCAGCAGCCGCGGCCG
rnacentral:rRNA from 1 species